AAACCAUGGUGAAGGCAGUCUCUCUCAUACUCCUUGAAUCGCUUCCAUGCUUCGUAAAAUGAUUCGACAGGGCCUUGUUGGAAACUUUGGAUAUUGUUUCUCAGCU
rfam:Eutrema salsugineum unplaced genomic scaffold scaffold_1, whole genome shotgun sequence.